rnacentral:rRNA from 1 species
GACGAACGCUGGCGGCGUGCUUAACACAUGCAAGUCGAGCGAGGCCCUUCCUUCGGGAAGGUGCCCUAGCGGCGAACGGGUGAGUAACACGUGGGCAACCUGCCCCUAGCACUGGGAUAACUCCGGGAAACCGGGGCUAAUACCGGAUAUGACCUUUGAGGGCAUCCUCUUUGGUGUAAAGGAUUCUGGCUAGGGAUGGGCCCGCGGCCUAUCAGCUUGUUGGUGGGGUAAUGGCCUACCAAGGCGACGACGGGUAGCCGGCCUGAGAGGGCGACCGGCCACACUGGGACUGAGACACGGCCCAGACUCCUACGGGAGGCAGCAGUGGGGAAUAUUGCACAAUGGGCGAAAGCCUGAUGCAGCGACGCCGCGUGAGGGAUGACGGCCUUCGGGUUGUAAACCUCUUUCAGCAGGGACGAAGCGAAAGGACG